GUCUUGGUCGAUUAGUGGUUAAAUCAUCUCGUUGUGGUGUACCUUCUCUUCUAACCUUACAACCGAGAAGCCGAGGGCUCGACUCCCUCCCGAGACA